AAAGGCAUAGCUCAGUGGUAGAGCAUUCGACUGCAGAUCGAAAAGUCCCCGGUUCAAACCCGGGUGCCCCCUUG
rnacentral:tRNA from 1 species